rnacentral:tRNA from 1 species
AAUUAAGUACUAUGCCUGCCUGUCACGCAGGAGGUCGCGGGUUCGAGUCCCGUCCAGA